UACGAGCGGCCCAAACGUUAUUCGGAAUUACUGGGCUUAAAGAGUUCGUAGGCGGCGCAGAAAGUAGGGUGUGAAAGCCCUCGGCUCAACCGAGGAAUUGCGCUCUAAACUACUGUGCUUGAGGAAUCUAGAGGUGAGCGGAACUGAUGGUGGAGCGGUGAAAUGCGUUGAUAUCAUCAGGAACACCGGAGGCGAAGGCGGCUCACUGGGGAUUUUCUGACGCUGAGGAACGAAAGCCAGGGGAGCGAACGGG
rnacentral:rRNA from 1 species